rnacentral:rRNA from 1 species
GGUCAAGCGAAUAAGCGCAUACGGUGGAUGCCUUGGCGGUCAGAGGCGAUGAAGGACGUGGCAGCCUGCGAAAAGUAUCGGGGAGCUGGCAACAAGCUUUGAUCCGGUAAUGUCCGAAUGGGGAAACCCACCCGCUUGCGGGUAUCCUGCAGUGAAUACAUAGCUGCUGGAAGCGAACCUGGUGAACUGAAAUAUCUAAGUAACCAGAGGAAAAGAAAUCAACCGAGAUUCCGUAAGUAGCGACGAGCGAACGCGGACUAGCCCUUAAGCUGGAUUGGUUCUAGGAAAACGCUCUGGAAAGAGCGGCCAUAGAAGGUGAUAGCCCUGUAUCUGAAAGGGCCAUUCCAGUGAAGACGAGUAGGGCGGGGCACGUGAAACCCUGUCUGAACAUGGGGGGACCAUCCUCCAAGGCUAAAUACUACUGACCGACCGAUAGUGAACCAGUACCGUGAGGGAAAGGCGAAAAGAACCCCGGAGAGGGGAGUGAAAUAGAACCUGAAACCGUGUGCGUACAAGCAGUAGGAGCUCCGCAAGGAGUGACUGCGUACCUUUUGUAUAAUGGGUCAGCGACUUACUGUUCGUGGCAAGCUUAACCGUAUAGGGGAGGCGAAGGGAAACCGAGUCUGAUAAGGGCGCAUAGUCGCGGGCAGUAGACCCGAAACCGGGUGAUCUAGUCAUGCCCAGGGUGAAGGUGCGGUAACACGCACUGGAGGCCCGAACCCACUCCCGUUGCAAAGGUAGGGGAUGAGGUGUGAUUAGGAGUGAAAAGCUAAUCGAACCCGGAGAUAGCUGGUUCUCCUCGAAAGCUAUUUAGGUAGCGCCUCAUAUGUAUCCUCUCGGGGGUAGAGCACUGUUAUGGCUAGGGGGUCAUCGCGACUUACCAAACCAUUGCAAACUCCGAAUACCGAGACGGACUGUAUGGGAGACACACGGCGGGUGCUAACGUCCGUCGUGAAAAGGGAAACAACCCAGACCCACAGCUAAGGUCCCAAAUUCACUGCUAAGUGGAAAACCAUGUGGAAAGGCACAGACAGCCAGGAGGUUGGCUUAGAAGCAGCCACCCUUUAAAGAAAGCGUAAUAGCUCACUGGUCGAGUCGGUCUGCGGGGAAGAUUUAACGGGGCUAAGCAGUGAACCGAAGCUUGGGGUGCAUAACUUUGUUAUGCGCGGUAGAGGAGCGUUCCGUAAGCCGUUGAAGGUGGAUUGAGAAGUCUGCUGGAGGUAUCGGAAGUGCGAAUGCUGACAUGAGUAACGAUAAUGCGGGUGAAAAACCCGCACGCCGAAAGCCCAAGGUUUCCUUGCGCAACGUUAAUCGGCGCAGGGUGAGUCGGCCCCUAAGGCGAGGACGAAAGUCGUAGUCGAUGGGAAGCAGGUUAAUAUUCCUGCACCUCGCGUAAGUGCGAUGGAGGGACGGAGAAGGUUAGGUGUACCAGGCGUUGGUUGUCCUGGGGAAAGGCGGUAGGUUUGGAUCUUUGGCAAAUCCGGGAUCCUUUAAGACCGAGCACCGAGACGAGCCUUUAUGGCGAAGUCACUGAUACCACGCUUCCAGGAAAAGCUCCUAAGCUUCAGCUUACGCAGACCGUACCGUAAACCGACACAGGUGGGUAGGAUGAGAAUUCUCAGGCGCUUGAGAGAACUCGGGUGAAGGAACUAGGCAACAUGGCACCGUAACUUCGGGAGAAGGUGCACCCUUUUUGGUGGCUCGUGCGAGCUAUAGCUGAAGAGGGUCGCAGUAACCAGGCCGCUGCGACUGUUUAUCAAAAACACAGCACUCUGCAAACACGAAAGUGGACGUAUAGGGUGUGACGCCUGCCCGGUGCUGGAAGGUUAAUUGAUGGGGUCAGCCGCAAGGCGAAGCUCUUGAUCGAAGCCCCAGUAAACGGCGGCCGUAACUAUAACGGUCCUAAGGUAGCGAAAUUCCUUGUCGGGUAAGUUCCGACCUGCACGAAUGGCGUAACGACAGCGGCGCUGUCUCCACCCGAGACUCAGUGAAAUUGAAAUCGCUGUGAAGAUGCAGCGUUCCCGUGGCAAGACGGAAAGACCCCGUGAACCUUUACUAUAGCUUUACACUGAACGUUGAGUUCGUCUGUGUAGGAUAGGUGGGAGGCUAUGAAACCAUGGCGCUAGCUGUGGCGGAGCCAUCCUUGAAAUACCACCCUGUCGUGCUUGACGUUCUAACCUGGGCCCAUUAUCUGGGUCGGGGACCGUGUAUGGUGGGUAGUUUGACUGGGGCGGUCUCCUCCUAAAGAGUAACGGAGGAGCUCGAAGGUACGCUCAGCGCGGUCGGACAUCGCGCACUGUGUGCAAAGGCAUAAGCGUGCUUGACUGCAAGAUCGACGGAUCAAGCAGGUAGGAAACUAGGACUUAGUGAUCCGGUGGUUCUGUAUGGAAGGGCCAUCGCUCAACGGAUAAAAGGUACUCCGGGGAUAACAGGCUGAUACCGCCCAAGAGUUCAUAUCGACGGCGGUGUUUGGCACCUCGAUGUCGGCUCAUCACAUCCUGGGGCUGUAGUCGGUCCCAAGGGUAUGGCUGUUCGCCAUUUAAAGUGGUACGCGAGCUGGGUUCAGAACGUCGUGAGACAGUUCGGUCCCUAUCUGCCAUGGGCGUUGGAGAUUUGAGAGGGGCUGCUCCUAGUACGAGAGGACCGGAGUGGACGAACCUCUGGUGUUCCGGUUGUCACGCCAGUGGCAUUGCCGGGUAGCUAUGUUCGGAAGCGAUAACCGCUGAAAGCAUCUAAGCGGGAAGCGCGCCUCAAGAUGAGAUCUCCCGGGGCACAAGCCCCCUGAAGGAACCAUGUAGACUACGUGGUUGAUAGGUCAGGUGUGUAAGUACAGCAAUGUAUUGAGCUAACUGAUACUAAUGAUCCGUGCGGCUUGACCAU